AAACAUCUACUCAGAAAGAAGAUUUGCAAAAUAGUGUGUUUCUUAAAGAAGGUGAAGUCACUCUGGUGCACAUGAGUGAAGGACGCUCUGUCAAACUACACACUGAUCUGACUGAAACACAGGACACUGACAUAAUAUGGUGGAAGUUUGUUGAUUCCAAAGAGCACAAUUGUGCUAAAUUUGUUAUCAUAGCCAGACUGAAUAAAACCAGCGACGAGGAAUACCUGUGUAAUUUAGAAAUGUUCAAAGACAAGCUGAAACUGGACCACAGUACGGGAUCUCUCACCAUCUCAAGCAUCACACCUGAACACUACGGACAUUAUAAUCUACAGAUCAUCAGGAAAGGAGAGAUGGUCGUUCAUACGUUCAGUUUUAUUGCUCAUGAUCUAAUGAGAAGAGAGCAAACCCAAAGCCUUAAACAUAGGAGACAAACCUGCCCGUGAUUACAACCGCUGACCUUUCCGUAAAUGAAGACUGGAAUAUCAUCCACAUUUCAAUUCCACUGACAAAAACAAUAAACAUUACUUUACUUUUUUCAACCAUCUCACAUUCCUAAUGAAAUCCUAACUCUUAUUGUAAUAGCUAAAGCUUUAUACUUGGAUUACAGUGUAAGGGUCAAAAUUAUCAAUUUUCUUUUAUGCCAAAAAUCAUUAGGAUAUUAAGAUAAGAUCAUGUUCCAUGAACAUAUUUUGAAUCGUAAAUAUAUCAAAACUUAAUUUUUGAUUAGUAAUAUGCAUUGCUAAAAACUUCAUUUGAACAACUUUAAAGGCAAAUUUUCUCAGUAUUUAGAUUUUUUUGCUCACUCAGAUUCCAGAUUUUCAAAUAGUUGUAUCUCAGACAAAUAUUGUCCUCCUAACAAACCAUACAUCAAUGGAGAGAUUAUUUCUUAUUUAUUCCGCUUUCAGAUUAUGUAUAAAACUCAAUUUCGAAAAAAUGACAUUUAAGACUGGUUUUGUGCUCCAGGGUCACAUAUAUAUGUAUGUAUCUUGUAAACAACGUAUUUACGCUUUUCAUUAUUUAAUUAGCAUGUAGUGUCUAGUUUUUCUGAUAACAUUAUUUUGGAAUAAUUUGUGUGUGUGUGUGUGUGUGUGUGUGGUGGGGGGGGGGUUAGUAGUAAUAUAUAUAGUUUCUUAUUUAUUCCGCUUUCAGAUUAUGUAUAAAACUCAAUUUCGAAAAAAUGACAUUUAAGACUGGUUUUGUGCUCCAGGGUCACAUAUAUAUGUAUGUAUCUUGUAAACAACGUAUUUACGCUUUUCAUUAUUUAAUUAGCAUGUAGUGUCUAGUUUUUCUGAUAACAUUAUUUUGGAAUAAUUUGUGUGUGUGUGUGUGUGUGUGUGUGUGGGGUUGGGGGGGGGGGUUAUAUAAAUAUAUAUAGUAAAAGUUGUACAGUCUUUAUUGUACAACUAAAUAAUAUUAUUUUUAAUAUAUAUAGUACACUAUUUGUAAAAAUAAAAAAAAUUAUUUUUUUAAUUACAAAAAUAUUGUUUUGGUUCUUUUGUAUUAGGUGUGUGUGUGUGUGUGUGUGUGUGGGUUGGGGGGGGGGUUAUAUAAAUAUAAUAUAGUAAAAAGUUGUACAGCUUUAUUUGUACAACUAAAUAAUAUAUUUUAAUAUAUAUAGUACACAUUUGUAAUAAAAAAAAUAUUUUUUUAAUUCAAAAAUAU
rnacentral:lncRNA from 1 species